GAUGAACGCUAGCGGCAGGCCUAAUACAUGCAAGUCGAGGGGCAGUGGUUGCUUGCAGCCAUGAGACCGGCGCACGGGUGCGUAACGCGUAUGCAACCUACCUUCAUCUGGGGGAUAGCCCGGAGAAAUCCGGAUUAAUACCGCAUAAAAUCACAGUACGGCAUCGUACAAUGAUCAAACAUUUAUGGGAUGGAGAUGGGCAUGCGUGUCAUUAGUUAGUUGGCGGGGUAACGGCCCACCAAGGCCGCGAUGACUAGGGGAUCUGAGAGGAUGACCCCCCACACUGGAACUGAGACACGGACCAGACUCCUACGGGAGGCAGCAGUAAGGAAUAUUGGUCAAUGGGCGCAAGCCUGAACCAGCCAUGCCGCGUGCAGGAAGACGGCCCUCUGGGUUGUAAACUGCUUUUAUUCGGGAAUAAACCUGCUUACGUGUAAGUAGCUGAAUGUACCGAAGGAAUAAGGAUCGGCUAACUCCGUGCCAGCCGCCGCCGUAAAAC
rnacentral:rRNA from 1 species